UUUAAUUGUAAAUUUUUAAUCAAAGUAGUAUUAGUUAUGAUCUUGAAAUUUAAAAAUUUUGGCGGUAUUUUAGUCUAUUCAGAGGAACCUGUUCUGUAAUUGAUAUUCCACGAAUAAAUGUACUUUAAUUAUUAGUUUGUAUAUCGUCGUUAUUAAUUAUUUUAUAAGAAUAUUAAUAAUUAAGAUUUUAAAUUAAAAAAUAAAUCAGAUCAAGGUGCAGUUUAUAUUAAAGAAGAAAUGGGUUACAAUAAAUUUAUUUAUUAUGGAUUUGUUUAUUUAUGUAAAUGAUAAAAGUGGAUUUGAUAGUAAUAAAAUUUUUGUUAAUUUUAUGAUUUUAGCUCUAAAAUGUGU
rnacentral:rRNA from 1 species